rnacentral:lncRNA from 1 species
GGGUUUUCCAUACUGGUCUUUCGACCUCAGGUAUUUGCCACCAUGUGUUGGGUCCGCCGGUUCCUCCCGCGUCCCUUGCCUACUCGACCAUCAAUCAAGUACCAUACUCCCAUUUUCAAAACAUAUUCUUUCAUAUCACUAUGACUCAUCAAUCAUUCAAACAUCAUGGAGAACACGUAGCAAAAGUCACAUUAAAGCACACAUAAUUAGGUUCUUAUGAUGAACAAAUGAAAGCUUCAACUUACCUCAAGUCCAAUAUGGUCUAUGAAGUGAAAAGAUCAGUCUCAUAUAGGUUGUGCUAGAGUCCUUGAUUAUAGAUGAAUUCAAACUUCAAAACGUAGAAUUUUAAGCUAGAAAAGGUGAAGAACUUGUUCUAGCUAUACUUCUAUGAGUUCUUAGGGUUUGAUAUUCUCUUAUGUGAAUAUGGAAGUGAAGAAAUAAGAAGAGAAGCUUAAGUGAAUAGGUCUGGUCGUUUUUGGAAGAAGACAAGUGAAAAUGAAGACCAAAACUCUAAGUCUUCACUUAUCUACCCAUUCCCAACAAGGCCAAAUGGAGGGUGGUGAUUGGAAGGCUUGUAUUUGCUGGAUUCUUGUGGUUCCUCCACGUUUUUAUAGCUUGACAUGAGAUAGGGGGCUGAUGCUUACUCAUUAUAAUCAAGUGUAAACAAUUUCAGAAUGGUCUUGUGCAACCUAGUCAACCAGCCAAUCAAAUUGCACCCUUUUGCAUACUUUUGGUUUUAGUCUAAUAUGAGUUACUUCAAGUAAUUACAUAUGUAAUUAAUCAUAUUAAAAUGUAAUUAAAAUGCAGAACUGCAAUUAAGACAAAUAUAUCAGCGUUUAGCACAUUGAUCCCUUCUUAACCGAGAAACUGAGCUUCUAACUACAAUAAAUCACUUAAGUCUCAUGUUAAAUCAUAAAAUAGGAGUUCAAUAACAUGUAUCAUGUAUCAGCACAUUUUAAGAAAAGUAUUCGAUCACGUAUUAAAACACAAUUAAGGCACACGUGUAACAAGUAGUCGUGAUCAUGCAUCAUGAAUAAUGAAUUAUAACUACAUGCAUUGAUGCAAUAUGCUUAUUAUUGGCCAUGUACGGAUGAUUGGGCAUUACAAUAACUUUCUCAUCCGGACUCCAAAUCGACUGGUUCCGACGGCAUUAGAAAGGAUAUUUGCUAUGCAUUUCUUCCUCUCUUUCCCACGUGGCUUCUUCAAUAGAUUGAUUUCUCCACAAUACCUUAACUAACGGAAUCUUUUUAUUUCUCAGCUCCUUGACUUUUUGAUCAAUAAUUUGAAUUGGUUUCUCCUCAUAAGACAAAUCUGCAGAAAACUCCAACGGUUCAUAACUCAACACAUGAGAGGGAUUUGAAAUGUACUUCUUCAACAUAGACACAUGGAAAACAUUGUGAACACCAGAUAAUGAAGGAGGUAAGGCUACUCUAUAUGCUCUAUCACCAACUCUUUCAAGGAUUUCAAACGGACCAACAUAUCUCGGACUAAGUUUUCCUUUCUUUCCAAAUCUCAUGAUGCCUUUCAAUGGAGCCACUUUCAAAAAUACAUGGUCGCCAACCGUAAACUCUAGAUCUCUUCUUCGUUUAUCUGCAUAACUUUUCUGUCUACUCUGUGCCGUCUUCAUUCUUUCCCUUAUCUUUUGUACCGUCUCAGCUGUAUGUUGCACCAUCUCUGGCCCAAGUAGACUUCUUUCGCCAACUUCAUCCCAAUGAACUGGAGAUCUACAUUUUCUCCCAUAUAGUGCUUCAUAAGGUGCCAUUCCAAUUGUGGAUUGAUAGCUGUUAUUGUAAGUGAACUCUAUCAAUGGAAGCUUUUCAUCCCAGCUCCCUUUCAAAUCUAGAACACAAGCUCUUAACAUAUCCUCAAGUAUUUGAAUAACUCUCUCGGAUUGUCCAUCGGUCUGUGGAUGAAAUGUUGUACUAAAUGCAAGCUUCGUCCCCAUGGCAUUGUGCAAACUCUUCCAAAAUGCAGAAGUAAACUUCGGAUCUCUAUCAGACACUAUUGACACUGGCACUCCAUGCAAUCUAACUACCUCUUUAAUAUAUUGUUGUGCAUAUUGCUCCAUGUUGAAUGUGGACUUCACUGGAAGAAAAUGGGCUGAUUUAGUUAGUCUAUCAACAACCACCCAUAUGGAAUUGUAUCCCCUUUGUGUUCUAGGCAAUCCAAGCACAAAAUCCAUUGUAAUAUGCUCCCAUUUCCACUCUGGAAUCAGUAAAGGUUUCAAUAGUCCUGCUGGUCUUUGAUGUUCCAUUUUAACUUGUUGACAAGUGAGGCAUUCGGCCACAAACUUUGCUAUAUCUUUCUUCAUGUUAGGCCACCAGUAGUGUAGUUGUAAGUCUUUGUACAUUUUUGUGCUGCCCGGGUGCACUGAGUAAGGACUUCUGUGAGCUUCUUCCAAAAUGUCGCCCUUUAUGUUAGCAUCAAAAGGAACACACAAUCUGCCUUUAUAUCUAAUUAUUUCAUCGUUACCAAUAGAGAAGUUCGGCCUCUUUUUAGCAUCAAUCAUACUUCGCAACCUGGACAAAUACUUAUCCACUUUCUGAGCCUCUUUGAUUCGGUCAUGCAAUACGGGUUUUAAUACUAAAGAUGAUAAAGAACUAACCGUCCCUUUAGGUACAAUUUCAAGCUCUAAUCUUUGUAAAUCCAGUAGUAUUGGUUUCUGCAUAACAAGGAAGGAAGACAUAGAUUUUCGACUCAAUGCAUCUGCAACUACAUUAGCUUUACCAGGAUGAUAGUUAAUCACACAGUCAUAAUCCUUCACAAGUUCUAACCAUCUUCGUUGUCUCAUAUUCAAUUCUUUCUGAGUGAAGAAGUACUUCAAGCUCUUGUGAUCCGUGUAAAUCUCACAUUUCUCACCAUAUAGGUAAUGCCUCCAAAUUUUCAAGGCAAACACAACGGCAGCAAGCUCUAAAUCAUGAGUUGGGUAAUUCUUCUCAUACACCUUCAAUUGUCUUGAAGCAUAGGCGAUAACAUUCCCAUGUUGCAUCAAUACAGCACCCAAUCCAUUUUUUUGAAGCAUCACUAUACACUACGAAUCCACCAGUUCCAGAAGGAAUGACGAGAACAUUAGCUGUAGUCAAUCUCCGUUUCAACUCUUGAAAGCUACUUUCACAUGCAUCAGUCCAUACAUACUUCACGUUCUUUCGUGUAAGCAUUGUUAAUGGAGUUGCUAUCUUCGAAAAUCCCUGAACAAAUCUUCGAUAAUAUCCUGCCAAUCCUAAGAAACUUCUAACCUCUGAUACAGAUGUUGGUGUUGGCCAAUUUUUGACAGCUUCUAUCUUACUCGGAUCGACAGAAAUACCAUUCUUGGACACGACAUGCCCUAGGAAUACAACUUGAUCAAGCCAAAACUCGCACUUCUUAAAUUUAGCAUAUAGUUGCCGUUCUUUCAAUAUUUGCAACACCACUCUCAAAUGUUCUCUAUGUUCGUCUUUAUCAUGGGAAUAGAUCAAGAUAUCAUCAAUGAACACAAUCACAAAUUUGUCGAGGAACUCCUUGAACACCCUAUUCAUCAAAUCCAUAAAAGCUGCGGGGGCAUUUGUUAAGCCAAAGGGCAUGACUAGAAAUUCAUAAUGUCCGUACCUUGUUCUAAAUGCAGUCUUUUGUAUGUCAUCCUCCUUUAUUUUCAAUUGAUGAUACCCGGAGCGUAAAUCGAUCUUCGAAAAUAUUGAUGCUCCUUGCAAUUGAUCAAACAAAUCAUCUAUUCUGGGUAGUGGAUAUUUGUUCUUGAUUGUAAGUUUGUUCAGUUCUCUAUAAUCGAUGCAUAAACGUAAUGUACCAUCUUUCUUUUUCACAAACAAAACCGGUGCUCCCCAAGGAGAAUAACUCGGCCGAAUAAGACCUUUAUGCAACAAGUCUUGUAGUUGAAUCUUCAACUCUUUUAGUUCUGUUGGUGCCAUUCUGUAUGGAGCUUUAGAAAUAGGAGUACUUCCGGGCAACGUAUCAAUAAGAAAUUCAAUUUCUCGAUCCGGUGGUAGUCCUGGUAAGUCAUCUGGAAAUACCUCAAGAAAUUGAUCAACCACAUCCACAUCUUGGGGUUUCAAUUGUGUUCGUACUGAAGUGUCCAUAACAUUAACCAAGUAUCCAACACAACCCCUACUCAUCAUCUUUUGAGCCUUCAAUGCAGCUAUAAAUGGUAUUGAAGAUGAAAGUGAAUGACCGCCGAACUCGAAAUGUUCUUCAUCAGGUGGUUGGAAGAUGACAACCUUCCGAUUACAAUUAAUGGUUGCAUAAUAUUUUGUAAGCCAAUCCAUGCCCAAAAUAGUCUCAAAAUUUGCGACAGGUAAAACAACAAGAUCCGCACAAAGUGUUCUACCACUAAUCUGAAUAGAACAAUGUUUCAACAUUUGGUUGGAAUUCAUCUCUUCCCCUGAUGGAGUCGUCACAUUGUACAUCACAUCCAACGUAUCUGGUAUAAUGCCCAAUCUCCUCACCAAUGAAUGUGAUGCAAAUGAAUGAGUAGAUCCUGAGUCUAUUAAUGCAAGUGCUGGAGUUCCUAAAAUUAAAAUAGUACCUGAGACAACGGAUGCAUCUACAUCACCUUGUUCUUUAGUCAUUGCAUACACUCUUGCUUGAACUUUGACUGGUGGGGUGCGACAAUCCCUUGCAAUAUGCCCUGGCUUCUUACACCUGAAGCAACGAUUUAAACCGCUAUAGCAUUCUCCAAAAUGAUUCUUCCCACAUGUGGCACACUUGGGCUUUUCAACUGUAGUAGAACUUUGUACAACUCUAGGGCGCUUCUCAUUUACUUGGCCUGAUUUUUGCUCUGGUUUCUUCCAUUGAGAUUGAGUUCCUGGAGUAAAAGUUUGCCUCUUCUGUUGAUGAAAUUUCUGAAUUUCCUUCUCAUCAAAGUCAGCCAUCAAUGCGUUGUCCACCACUUGUCGAAACUCGUUUGGAGAAGAGAUCCUUACAUCUUUUCUAAUAACUGGGUUGAGGCCUCUCAUGAAGUGAUCCAUCUUUUCUUUGUUAUCUUUAGCUAUGUAAGGUACAUACUUGCAACCCUCCUCGAAUUUUCGCACGUAGUCACAUACGGACAUUUCAUUCUGCUUCAAUUCUAAGAACUCUUUUACUUUGAGUGACCGGACAUCCCUCGUGAAAUACUUGUCAUAAAAGAUUGUUUUGAAUGCCUCCCAUGUCAACUUCUCCAUAUCCACUGCAAGUUUUGUACCCUCCCACCAAGUUCUAGCUUCUUUCUUCAAUAGGAAAAUGGCACAAAGUACUUUCUCGGAAUCUUCGAUACGCAUGUAAUCAAAGAUGACGUCUAGAGAUUUAACCCAUUCUUCCGCAACCAUAGGAUCAGACCCACCAUAGAAAUCAACCGGUUCCAUUUUACGAAAUUUCUCAUACACGGUAAGAGAGUUAUCGUGUCUAGCUUGUGGAGGAGGUUGUUGGUUUUGUUCAUGGGUUCGCUGUUGCAUAUCGAACAAUUUUUGUAUCUGUUCGCCAUGCAUUCUAGUCUGUUGCUGAAUCAAACCAGCUAAAUUAUCAACUAAGUUGUAGUCACCCUCGUGGUCAACAUUCCCUGUCUUCCUUUUUGGUGCCAUUACUUCCUAUACAUUGCCGAAUCUCAUCCCAUUCAUUAGCCAAUACUAAUGCACAAUCAUGACAAUGGCAUACAUAUGUUAAGAUAAUCAAACACAUAGGUAAAUAAGAAUAGAGUUAACCAAGCUUCCCAGCCAAAGUAUGUUCAUAUGCGUUCUUCUGUCUUCAGAAAAGAUUUUAAACCUCCGCUCUGAUACCACAAAAUGUAACGCCCCACAACCUAACAGCAGAAUCCAAUCCGAUCACCACCAUUAAGUUAGGGAUGCUAACCUUUUUAUAUACACUUAAAUAUUAUGGUUUUAAUACAAAAUAAGUUAUAUGCUUUGAAAAGAAAUCAAACUUUGUGCUUUCUCAAAAUCUGUACAUAUACGUAUAUAAAUAUUUAAUGUUUACAAAAUUACAUUGUACAAAAACCAUAAUAGAGCGGCUAACAAAAUUAAAUCAGAGUUUCAAGCUCGGCUACAAAAAUGGCUCGAAGCAUGGCAUAUGAACAAAUCUCUGACUGGCCGCUUUUGGCUAGGUCAACUUCUAAAUAUGUACAUCAUUACCUGCAUCAUAAGAACCUAAUGAGCUAAUGGCUCAGCAAGUUGAAACUGAUGUAAUAGCAAUAUAUCACAUAACACAUUAUUCAUUCAAUAAGUACAAUAUCACAUAUAACUUCAUUCAUGAUCCUUUUCUUUGAAAUCCUUCUCUUUAUCGGGUACCCUUGAAGUGUGGUACUUGACUGAUAGCAAUAGGCUUUCGUUUUCGGAACCUGUUCAUCAUAUUUGGCCAUAGAUAAUACGGGGGUUUCCAUACCGGCCUUUCGACCUCAGGUAUUAGCCGUAUUUCAUUUCAUUAAUUGUGGGUUUUCCAUACUGGUCUUUCGACCUCAGGUAUUUGCCACCAUGUGUUGGGUCCGCCGGUUCCUCCCGCGUCCCUUGCCUACUCGACCAUCAAUCAAGUACCAUACUCCCAUUUUCAAAACAUAUUCUUUCAUAUCACUAUGACUCAUCAAUCAUUCAAACAUCAUGGAGAACACGUAGCAAAAGUCACAUUAAAGCACACAUAAUUAGGUUCUUAUGAUGAACAAAUGAAAGCUUCAACUUACCUCAAGUCCAAUAUGGUCUAUGAAGUGAAAAGAUCAGUCU